UGUACUUGUGUGUGUUUCUGUCUUCACUUGUGGACCGAGGCUUAAUGAACAGGUGCAAAAAAUAAACCCUCUUCUGCAACCCAGAGCUCAUUGUUCGGUAUGAGUUUUGAUACACAGAAGAAGGAAUAUU
rnacentral:snoRNA from 1 species